GGUGAAAGGGGGCCUCUGUUUACAAGCUCCUGCUUCUGGGAUGAGCCCGCGUCCCAUCAGCUAGUUGGUAGGGUAAUGGCCUACCAAGGCUACGACGGGUAGCUGGUCUAAGAGGAUGGCCAGCCACACUGGAACUGAGACACGGUCCAGACUCCUACGGGAGGCAGCAGUGGGGAAUCUUGCGCAAUGGGCGAAAGCCUGACGCAGCGACGCCGCGUGGGUGACGAAGGCCUUCGGUUGUAAAGCCCUGUGGGGUAGGAACGAACUGGCAUCGGGCUAAUAUCCCGGUGUCUUGACGGUACUGCCUUAGCAAGCAUCGGCUAACUCUGUGCCAGCAGCCGCGGUAAGACAGAGGAUGCGAACGUUGCUCGGAUUUACUGGGCGUAAAGCGCGUGUAGGCGGUCUCGUUAGUCGGGUGUGAAAGCCCCGGGC
rnacentral:rRNA from 1 species